rnacentral:rRNA from 1 species
AGUGAACGCUGGCGGUAGGCCUAACACAUGCAAGUCGAACGGCAGCACAGUAAGAGCUUGCUCUUACGGGUGGCGAGUGGCGGACGGGUGAGGAAUACAUCGGAAUCUACUUUUUCGUGGGGGAUAACGUAGGGAAACUUACGCUAAUACCGCAUACGACCUACGGGUGAAAGCAGGGGAUCUUCGGACCUUGCGCGAUUGAAUGAGCCGAUGUCGGAUUAGCUAGUUGGCGGGGUAAAGGCCCACCAAGGCGACGAUCCGUAGCUGGUCUGAGAGGAUGAUCAGCCACACUGGAACUGAGACACGGUCCAGACUCCUACGGGAGGCAGCAGUGGGGAAUAUUCGACAAUGGGCGCAAGCCUGAUCCAGCCAUACCGCGUGAGUGAAGAAGGCCUUCGGGUUGUAAAGCCCUUUUAUUGGGAAAGAAAAGCAGCAGAUUAAUACCCCGCUGUUCUGACGGUACCCAAAGAAUAAGCACCGGCUAACUUCGUG